GCAGUCUUGUGUGCAUUAUUCUUUAUUUGUUACCUUUUUAACCUAUAAAUGCUGUUAAAUCAGGGGACGGCAAACCAUCUGGCAGAGGCACAGGACUGGACUCCUGGCACAGAGGCUGCCCUGUCACUCAACAGCCACACAAUCUUACACCGGAAACUUAAUCUCUUACCUUGAUAUUCCUUAAAUAUUACAAAAUAUUUGCAAUGGGAAUACCCACACCUGUUCUCAACUCUACUUUACAGGUCAAUAUAGGUAAAAAGCAAAGUCUUUGGAAGACAUAAAAACACUUGGAAAAUACCUUUUUAUAACACAAGGAAAAUGAUAUCGUGAUAUUUGUGAUGGAUGACAAUGAAUUAGUAAUAUCUGUUCAGUUGGCCUCACAGUACUAUUGAGAAGAUCAAAUGAGAUCACAGAAGUGGAGAGUCUAAGAGGUGCUAGACUGUAGGACUUUUGUUGGUGUUAAAUUCACACUAUCGUGUAUAUGGCUCAUAUUUACCCUGCAAGCAAAUGUGGAUAAGAGAGAUUGGGAAAUUGCAUGCGGUGUUGGAAGUGAAAGAAGCUAAGGUACAAGAAGCAAGGGACGGACUUGGGGGAGGUGCGCUGAGAGACACUGCUAAGAAUCUGCUUGGAUUGGACAGUUUUGCCAGCUUUGAAAAGUCCUCUUUGAAUUCUAUAUCAUUUUAAUACAUAAAUUACAAUGUUACUACACUACUGACUGUCAUUAAAAAAUCUAGAACGAUCUAUCUUCUAUUAUUUACUGCUCCACCCCUUCUUUGUGUUGGCUACUUGAACUUCCUAACUAAACAGCCUGUGAUCAGAGCCACAGAGGCUGGGGCAAUGAAAGGUAAACAACACUUUGCCAACUGGAAAAUAAGAUGCCGGUGACUUCUGCUUCCUGUGAACACGUCAUUAGCAAUAAAUGAGUCACCAGAUGUCACACAUCAGACUCAAAAUUAAGAUCUAUUCCAAGUAUUUGUGUGCAGUCUGAGUAGGAGUUGAAAACGAACUCUUCCCAAGAGAGCAGCCUAAGAUAACACGCCAUUUUUGCCUUCUGAUAGUUUGACCCUUUCUAAAUGUAAAAUGCAAUGCAUUCCUUGGUUUGCAAAAUGAAAAAAAAAAAAAAAACAAAAAACAAAACCACAACGCAUUUCUUCUUAGGGCUGAGGAGCAAGCAGCGUGUCAUCCUGCAGGCCCAACUGCAUAAGGCCAAGGAGGAGACUUUUGAACGUUCUGUGCCAUACCAAGACCACCAGCCCCUCUGGUUUUUAACUCUGCUAUAGCAAUUUCAUCUUUUCUCACCUUCACACCUUCAUGUUCAGUAGGUGAUCUCUCCUUUUACCACCAGCAACAAAACUGUUCAAGUCAGCAACUGUCAGCGUCAAUGCCACUCUUCCUGAACUCUGCCAUGACAGCAACCUGGGAGUGCUCACCUUUCCCCACCAGGAAACAAACUUAACUGAUUUGCUGGGUCGAGGUGACUGGAAAGAGUCUGACAUUGCUGUUUCAUGAAUGGGAUCACGUUAGUGGAAAGACGAUGACUAUGAACUUCAAGAUAGACCAUAAUAGAAGAACCAUGUUGUGUGGAUUCUUGUUAACUUCUUAAGAAACCUACUGAUGAUACAAGCUGUAGAUGCUGGAUGCUUACCUGAUGGCCUCUUUCUUGGGAUGGCUUCAGUGACUUAUUCAGAUAAAAUCCCAUUCACUUGGGGCCAAUCUCUCUUGUAAUAAAUCUGGAAAGAAAAGAAAAAGAUUAAAGUGAUUCAUGAAUGUGGUCAGCUUUUUAUUUUUUAAUUUACAAAGUAAGUAUUAACACUGCAUAUUAAGAAUGUUUUGGAAGGGAAUGAAAUCAUCUGUUCCACCUCAAGAACAUAUUUUUCUUUAUUUAGAGUUAGGUGGUACCAGGCAGCUAUCAAGGGAUCCCAUUUUUCUGUCUGCUCAUGGUCAACAGCAGCUUUCUCAAUUGCUCGUGGACACACACCAGACAAAGAAAAACAGAAUACUUUCUGGUGAAACAAUAUAAUCUUAUUCUAAGAUGGUUUCUAUAGACAUGACUACUAAAUAAAAAUUCUAUAAUGAUUUUGAUUUUUGCUUAUGAAUUUAGAGUUAAGCUUAGCUAUGUGAUCUUUCUAGUACAAAGUUUAUACAAGUGUUAUUUAACCAUAAUUUAAAAAACACCAUUGUAAAAGAACUUUUGUUCUGUUUUUCUUUUUCACAGAUAUAACACUUGUCUGUAGUUUAAAUGUUGAGUUAUAGAAGAAUAUAAAAUAAAAGUAAGCAUCUAUCUCCUUAUUCUCUCUAAUUUUGUCCCUGGAAUCACUUCCUAGAGAUAAGGCCAACUAAGAAAUUGUAUAUCCUUUAGGACUAUAAAAAAUGAAUGCAGAUACAUGUAAAUGUGUAUAUUUAUGUUGUUUCUUUUUAUGCAUAUUACUUUGCUUUUUGCUGUUUUCAUUUGUUAAUUUUGCUUAACAACUAUGGCUAACAGAACUUCCUAUAUCAGCAUUUAUAAAUCUACCUCAUUCAUUUGAUGACUACAUGAUACUUUACUUAGCUAUUCUGUUAUUCAUGAGCCUUAAAGGCUCCCCCACCCCUCAAUUUUCCUUUUGGCUGCUACAAAAAUAUUUUUUUUUUGUUUGGUUUUGAGCAACCAUAUAUUCAAGCUUUACUGUAGUAUGGUAAGAUAGAUGAAUUUUGGCAUUAGAAGGACCUACUAGCAAAAGGCAUUGUCUGUAAGGUGGCUUCUUCCAUAAAAUACCAAGGUGUUAUAAAAACUAUGGGCAGUUCUGUGGAACCAAGAGAAGAUAAUGCUAAGUGAAGUUAGCCAUUUCCAAAAAAAAAA